rnacentral:rRNA from 1 species
AACGAACGCUGGCGGCAUGCCUAACACAUGCAAGUCGAACGAGACCUUCGGGUCUAGUGGCGCACGGGUGCGUAACGCGUGGGAACCUGCCCUCAGGUUCGGAAUAACUCCCCGAAAGGGGUGCUAAUACCGGAUAAUGUCUUCGGACCAAAGAUUUAUCGCCGUUGGAUGGGCCCGCGUUGGAUUAGCUAGUUGGUAAGGUAAAAGCCUACCAAGGCGACGAUCCAUAGCUGGUCUGAGAGGAUGAUCAGCCACACUGGGACUGAGACACGGCCCAGACUCCUACGGGAGGCAGCAGUGGGGAAUAUUGGACAAUGGGCGAAAGCCUGAUCCAGCAAGGCCGCGUGAGUGAUGAAGGCCUUAGGGUUGUAAAGCUCUUUUACCCGGGAUGAUAAUGACAGUACCGGGAGAAUAAGCUCCGGCUAACUCCGUG